CCUACGGGGGGCAGCAGUGGGGAAUAUUGGACAAUGGGGGGAACCCUGAUCCAGCCAUGCCGCGUGUGUGAAGAAGGCCCUCGGGUUGUAAAGCACUUUCAGUGAGGAAGAAAGCCUGGUGGUUAAUACCCAUCAGGAAAGACAUCACUCACAGAAGAAGCACCGGCUAACUCCGUGCCAGCAGCCGCGGUAAUACGGAGGGUGCGAGCGUUAAUCGGAAUUACUGGGCGUAAAGCGCGCGUAGGUGGCUUGAUAAGCCGGUUGUGAAAGCCCCGGGCUCAACCUGGGAACGGCAUCCGGAACUGUCAAGCUAGAGUGCAGGAGAGGAAGGUAGAAUUCCCGGUGUAGCGGUGAAAUGCGUAGAGAUCGGGAGGAAUACCAGUGGCGAAGGCGGCCUUCUGGACUGACACUGACACUGAGGUGCGAAAGCGUGGGUAGCAAACAGGAUUAGAUACCCCAGUAGUC
rnacentral:rRNA from 1 species